GGCAGAAUAGCUCAGUUGGAAAGAGCACUAGGGGCGCAAUCAUCACUUAGAGGUCCCGGUUCAAUUCCGGGUUCAGCCA